CGCAGAGAAAGAUGUGCAGUGACAUGAAGCUGAUGAUUCUUCAGAAAAUCAGGUCUCCACAGAGGCAGCCUACACAUCCGUUCACAACCUGAAUGACACAGAGUAUCAUCUGGAUCAGAGACAGACCCAAGAGUAUGGAGAACAGCACGAUGUGCCAGAGAACCACAUUCUCGGGAAAGGCACACUCGGACCAUGUGGUCUUAUCCCCCAGAUUUACUCACACGACAACGGUUUCCACAACAACCAGCCCCGCAACAGCCUUUGCCCCCGGCUCUGAUGGCUGAG